AUCGGUUUGGUACACAGACCCAAUAAAGCGGUUUAGUAAAGCAGUCCUCAUCUCAAGCGUUAUCCAUUGAUAAUCCUUCAAUUGAGCCUUCUUAUCGUUAUUAAUUAAACUCUGUGGCGGAACCAUUCACGCCGUAAGGCAAUCUGCACAUUGAGGUUUUAUCUAUGUCUAACAAAAUCACCGGUUCCGUUAAAUGGUUCAACGAGUCUAAAGGCUUCGGUUUCAUUACUCCGGAUAACGGCAGCAAAGAUGUUUUUGUUCAUUUCUCGGCUAUCCAGAGCGGCGGUUUCAAAACCCUGAGCGAAGGCCAGAAAGUCGAAUUCACGGUUGAAGACGGACAGAAAGGCCCGUCAGCCGGCAACGUCUUCGCGAUUUAAUUUCGCACAGUCCGCCAUCCGCUCUGCACGAGCAGAGCCAUGGUUU
rfam:Escherichia hermannii NBRC 105704 DNA, contig: EH10570401.